GCGGGCGUAGCCCAGUGGUUAGGGUACCGCCUUCCCAUACGAGUAUAUGCGGAAUAGAGGCGGGGGUCGGGAGUUCGAAUCUCCCCGUCCGCA